GGCCUGGUAGCUCAGUUGGCUAGAGCGCUGGCUUUACUAAAGCCUUCCCCUUUCUGGCGUGGUUUCGAAUCCGACCGAGGCCG
rnacentral:tRNA from 1 species